rnacentral:rRNA from 1 species
UACGAAGGGGACUAGCGUUGUUCGGAUUUACUGGGCGUAAAGCGCGCGUAGGCGGAUCGCUAAGUCAGGUGUGAAAUCCCAGGGCUCAACCCUGGAGCUGCCUUUGAUACUGACGAUCUGGAGAUCGGGAGAGGUUGGUGGAAUUCCGAGUGUAGAGGUGAAAUUCGUAGAUAUUCGGAGGAACACCAGAAGCGAAGGCGGCCAACUGGCCCGAUACUGACGCUGAGGCGCGAAAGCGUGGGGAGCAAACAGG